CCUACGGGGGGCUGCAGUGGGGAAUAUUGGACAAUGGGCGAAAGCCUGAUCCAGCAAUGCCGCGUGAGUGAUGAAGGCCUUAGGGUUGUAAAGCUCUUUUACCCGGGAUGAUAAUGACAGUACCGGGAGAAUAAGCCCCGGCUAACUCCGUGCCAGCAGCCGCGGUAAUACGGAGGGGGCUAGCGUUGUUCGGAAUUACUGGGCGUAAAGCGCGCGUAGGCGGCUUUGUAAGUUAGAGGUGAAAGCCCAGAGCUUAACUCUGGAAUUGCCUUUAAGACUGCAUCGCUUGAAUCAUGGAGAGGUGAGUGGAAUUCCGAGUGUAGAGGUGAAAUUCGUAGAUAUUCGGAAGAACACCAGUGGCGAAGGCGACUCACUGGACAUGUAUUGACGCUGAGGUGCGAAAG
rnacentral:rRNA from 1 species